rnacentral:tRNA from 1 species
CAUUAAGUGACUGAAAGUAAGUACUGGUCUCUUAAACCAUUUCAUAAUAAAUUAACAAUUAUUCUUAAUGG